AAAAGUUUAGUUAAAUCAUAACAUUAACUUGUCAAGUUAAAAUUAUUAUCAAUAAUAACUUUUA
rnacentral:tRNA from 1 species